rnacentral:rRNA from 1 species
CUCCGGGGGUAGCGGUGAAAUGCUAUAAUCCCUGGGGGACCGCCAGUGGCGAAAGCGCUCGGCGAAACCGGACCCGACGGUGAGGGACGAAGGCCAGGGGCGCAAACCGGAUUAGAUACCCGGGUAGUCCUGGCUGCAAAGUAUGUGGGUUAGGUGCCGGACGUUCCUCGAGAGCGGUCGGUGCCGAAGGUAAGCCGUUAAGCCCACCGCCUGGGAAGUACGGCCGCAAGGCUGAAACUUAAAGAAAUUGGCGGGGGAGCACCACAAGGGGUGGAGCCUGCGGUUUAAUUGGAUUCAACGCCGGACAUCUCACCGGGGGCGACGGCAGAAUGAAGGCCAAGUCGACGACUUUGCCGGACUCGCCGAGAGGUGGUGCAUGGCCGCCGUCAGCUCGUAUCGUGAGGCGUCCUGUCAAGUCAGGUAACGAGCGAGACCCUCACCCUUAGUUGCCAGCGGAUUCCUUACGGAAUGCCGGGAACUCUAGGGGGACCGCUACCGAUAAGGCAGAGGAAGGAGAGGGCGACGGUAGGUCCGUAUGCCCCGAAUCCCCCGGGCAACACGCGGGCUACAAUGCGCAGGACAGAGGGCUGCGACCCCGAAAGGGGAAGCCGAUCCCUAAACCUGUGCCUAGUUCGGAUCGAGGGCUGAAACUCGCCCUCGUGAAGCUGGAAUCCCUAGUAACUGCGUGUCACUAUCGCGCGGUG